rnacentral:rRNA from 1 species
AUACGUAGGGUGCAAGCGUUAAUCGGAAUUACUGGGCGUAAAGCGUGCGCAGGCGGUUUUGUAAGAAAGUGGUGAAAUUCCCGGGCUCCACCUGGGAACUGCCAUUGUGACUGCAAGGCCGGAGUGCGGCCGAGGGGGAUGGAAUUCCGCGUGUAGCAGUGAAAUGCGUAGAUAUGCGGAGGAACACCGAUGGCGAAGGCACUCCCCUGGGCCUGCACUGACGCUCAUGCACGAAAGCGUGGGGAGCAAACAGGAUUAGAUACCCUGGUAGUCCACGCCCUAAACGAUGUCAACUGGUUGUUGGGGAUUUAUUUUCUCAGUAACGAAGCUAACGCGUGAAGUUGACCGCCUGGGGAGUACGGCCGCAAGGUUAAAACUUAAAGGAAUUGACGGGG